AACCUGGUUGAUCCUGCCAGUAGUCAUACGCUUGUCUCAAAGAUUAAGCCAUGCAUGUCUAAGUAUAAACAAUUUUGUACUGUGAAACUGCGAAUGGCUCAUUAUAUCAGUUAUAGUCUACUCGAUAGUACCUUACUACUUGGAUACCCGGA
rfam:Phytophthora infestans T30-4 supercont1.2892 genomic scaffold, whole genome shotgun sequence.